GCAAGGUCUGUGCGAUGAGUGAAAAGGGGGGAAAAGCGUAAUGUCUGGUGUGCGGCCACGGUUGUCGGAAAGCGUCUACCGCCAGAGCCUCCGGAUCUGGCCUCCAACUGAAAAACUUCAGUAACUGCGUGUUCAGCCGUGACGUGAACAGGUCGAUGUCCAGCGGCCCCCACAGUGAUUGCAAAUGGCUGAAGAUGGCCGGGUUCAGCCGCCAGCAUCC